UACGGGGGGGGCAAGCGUUGUCCGGAAUUAUUGGGCGUAAAGGGCGCGUAGGUGGGAUAGCAAGUCUGGGGUGCAAACUUAUGGCUUAACUGUAAGCUUGCCCUGGAUACUACUAUUCUUGAGUUCGGGAGAGGGAAGUGGAAUUCCUGGUGUAGCGGUGAAAUGCGUAGAUAUCAGGAAGAACACCGGUGGCGAAGGCGGCUUCCUGGCACGAUACUGACACUGAGGCGCGAAAGUGCGGGGAGCAAACAGGAUUAGAUACCCUGGUAGUCCGCACAGUAAACGUUGGACACUAGGUGUUGGUCUCUAUGAGAUCAGCGCCGCAGCUAACGCAUUAAGUGUCCCGCCUGGGGAGUACGACCGCAAGGUUGAA
rnacentral:rRNA from 1 species